UUCCCAUUUAUUUUGAGACCAUAAUUAAUUAGCAACUUCUGAUAUAUGUCUGCUUACACUCGCUGUGGUUAUGUUUCGUAUUUGCGGUUGUAAAAAUUAAGCAUAUGCAUGUUAUUGUUUUCUGGUAUGUCAACAAGCACUGAAUUGAUUGUAAAUAUGACCUCCUGCAGUUGCAGACAGUCAGAGAGACAUACCCGGACUGUCUUCUGGAAACAAGCCGUAUCAAGUACCAGAAUACAUGCCAGAAUUCCACAAGAUGGGAUCUACAAGGCCUGUUGUCAACUUUGGGCAACAAGGCUGUCACAAACCAGACACAAUUACGCCAUUCCAGACAUCAACAAACUAUCUGAUGUAGGAGAACUACUUACAAGACCAAGAAAACGCAGCAGCUUCUUGAAGAUGAAAUUGAUGAAGUUCGUAAACUCUGUAAGUGGAGACCAGCUUCUCCAUUUAAACCAUAGCUAGCAGAACCUAAUUGAUUAUGAGUGUGAUUAUACAUUGCAAAAUCAACUUUAAGUAAUUGAGACAAUUCACAUUGACCUUAAUAACCGACAAAGUACAUCUCACAGCACAGCAAACAUUGUUCUAAGCAUUAGUCACUCUUUUGCCGCUGCCACUUCACUGAAUGUUAGAUUAAAAUAACUG